AACGCUGGCGGCGCGCUUAACACAUGCAAGUCGAGCGAGAACCAGGGCUUCGGCCCUGGGGACAGCGGCGAACGGGUGAGUAACACGUGGGUAAUCUGCCCUCGGCAUCGGGAUAGCCCGGGGAAACCCGGAUUAAUACCGAAUAGCCUCCGGAGCUCUCGGGCGCCGGAGAAAAGGUAGCUUCGGCCUCUGGCCGAGGAUGAGCCCGCGGCGGAUUAGCUUGUUGGCGGGGUAACGGCCCACCAAGGCGACGAUCCGUAGCUGGUCUGAGAGGACGAUCAGCCACACUGGGACUGAGACACGGCCCAGACUCCUACGGGAGGCAGCAGUGGGGAAUCUUGCGCUAAUGCGGGAAACCGUGACGCAGCGACGCCGCGUGGGGGAAGAAGGCCUUCGGGUUGUAAACCUCUUUCAGUUGGGACGAAGCUCCGCCGGUGAAUAGCCGGCUGGAGUGACGGUACCUUCAGAAGAAGCCCCGGCUAAUUACGUGCCAGCAGCCGCAGUAAUAC
rnacentral:rRNA from 1 species